UACGGAGGGGGGCUAGCGUUAUUCGGAAUUAUUGGGCGUAAAGGGCGUGUAGGCGGCUUCGUAAGUCUUGUGUGAAAGCCCUCGGCUCAACCGAGGAAUUGCACGAGAAACUGCGUGGCUCGAGUCCGGGAGAGGAUAGUGGAAUUCCCAGUGUAGCGGUGAAAUGCGUAGAUAUUGGGAGGAACACCGGUGGCGAAGGCGGCUAUCUGGACCGGUACUGACGCUGAUACGCGAAAGCCAGGGGAGCAAACGGG
rnacentral:rRNA from 1 species